UUAAGCGACUAAGCGUACACGGUGGAUGCCCUGGCAGUCAGAGGCGAUGAAGGACGUGCUAAUCUGCGAAAAGCGUCGGUAAGGUGAUAUGAACCGUUAUAACCGGCGAUGUCCGAAUGGGGAAACCCAGUGCAAUUCGUUGCACUAUCGUUAACUGAAUACAUAGGUUAACGAGGCGAACCGGGGGAACUGAAACAUCUAAGUACCCCGAGGAAAAGAAAUCAACCGAGAUUCCCCCAGUAGCGGCGAGCGAACGGGGAGCAGCCCAGAGUCUGAAUCAGCUUGUGUGUUAGUGGAACGGUCUGGAAAGUCCGACGGUACAGGGUGAUAGUCCCGUACACCAAAAUGCACAGGUUGUGAACUCGAAGAGUAGGGCGGGACACGUGGUAUCCUGUCUGAAUAUGGGGGGACCAUCCUCCAAGGCUAAAUACUCCUGACUGACCGAUAGUGAACCAGUACCGUGAGGGAAAGGCGAAAAGAACCCCGGCGAGGGGAGUGAAAAAGAACCUGAAACCGUGUACGUACAAGCAGUGGGAGCACCUUCGGGUGUGACUGCGUACCUUUUGUAUAAUGGGUCAGCGACUUAUAUUCUGUAGCAAGGUUAACCGUAUAGGGGAGCCGCAGGGAAACCGAGUCUUAACUGGGCGUUAAGUUGCAGGGUAUAGACCCGAAACCCGGUGAUCUAGCCAUGGGCAGGUUGAAGGUUGGGUAACACUAACUGGAGGACCGAACCGACUAAUGUUGAAAAAUUAGCGGAUGACUUGUGGCUGGGGGUGAAAGGCCAAUCAAACCGGGAGAUAGCUGGUUCUCCCCGAAAGCUAUUUAGGUAGCGCCUCGUGAACUCAUCUUCGGGGGUAGAGCACUGUUUCGGCUAGGGGGUCAUCCCGACUUACCAACCCGAUGCAAACUACGAAUACCGAAGAAUGUUAUCACGGGAGACACACGGCGGGUGCUAACGUCCGUCGUGAAGAGGGAAACAACCCAGACCGCCAGCUAAGGUCCCAAAGUCAUGGUUAAGUGGGAAACGAUGUGGGAAGGCACAGACAGCCAGGAUGUUGGCUUAGAAGCAGCCAUCAUUUAAAGAAAGCGUAAUAGCUCACUGGUCGAGUCGGCCUGCGCGGAAGAUGUAACGGGGCUAAACCAUGCACCGAAGCUGCGGCAGCGACACUAUGUGUUGUUGGGUAGGGGAGCGUUCUGUAAGCCUGCGAAGGUGUGCUGUGAGGCAUGCUGGAGGUAUCAGAAGUGCGAAUGCUGACAUAAGUAACGAUAAAGCGGGUGAAAAGCCCGCUCGCCGGAAGACCAAGGGUUCCUGUCCAACGUUAAUCGGGGCAGGGUGAGUCGACCCCUAAGGCGAGGCCGAAAGGCGUAGUCGAUGGGAAACAGGUUAAUAUUCCUGUACUUGGUGUUACUGCGAAGGGGGGACGGAGAAGGCUAUGUUAGCCGGGCGACGGUUGUCCCGGUUUAAGCAUGUAGGCUGAUUGUCCAGGCAAAUCCGGAUAAUCAAGGCUGAGGUGUGAUGACGAGGCACUACGGUGCUGAAGUAACAAAUGCCCUGCUUCCAGGAAAAGCCUCUAAGCAUCAGGUAACAUCAAAUCGUACCCCAAACCGACACAGGUGGUCAGGUAGAGAAUACCAAGGCGCUUGAGAGAACUCGGGUGAAGGAACUAGGCAAAAUGGUGCCGUAACUUCGGGAGAAGGCACGCUGGUGUGUAGGUGAAGUCCCUGCGGAUGGAGCUGAGACCAGUCGAAGAUACCAGCUGGCUGCAACUGUUUAUUAAAAACACAGCACUGUGCAAACACGAAAGUGGACGUAUACGGUGUGACGCCUGCCCGGUGCCGGAAGGUUAAUUGAUGGGGUUAUCCGUAAGGAGAAGCUCUUGAUCGAAGCCCCGGUAAACGGCGGCCGUAACUAUAACGGUCCUAAGGUAGCGAAAUUCCUUGUCGGGUAAGUUCCGACCUGCACGAAUGGCGUAAUGAUGGCCAGGCUGUCUCCACCCGAGACUCAGUGAAAUUGAACUCGCUGUGAAGAUGCAGUGUACCCGCGGCAAGACGGAAAGACCCCGUGAACCUUUACUAUAGCUUGACACUGAACAUUGAGCCUUGAUGUGUAGGAUAGGUGGGAGGCUUUGAAGCGUGGACGCCAGUCUGCGUGGAGCCAACCUUGAAAUACCACCCUUUAAUGUUUGAUGUUCUAACGUUGGCCCCUGACCGGGGUUGCGGACAGUGUCUGGUGGGUAGUUUGACUGGGGCGGUCUCCUCCCAAAGCGUAACGGAGGAGCACGAAGGUUAGCUAAUCCUGGUCGGACAUCAGGAGGUUAGUGCAAUGGCAUAAGCUAGCUUGACUGCGAGCGUGACGGCGCGAGCAGGUGCGAAAGCAGGUCAUAGUGAUCCGGUGGUUCUGAAUGGAAGGGCCAUCGCUCAACGGAUAAAAGGUACUCCGGGGAUAACAGGCUGAUACCGCCCAAGAGUUCAUAUCGACGGCGGUGUUUGGCACCUCGAUGUCGGCUCAUCACAUCCUGGGGCUGAAGUAGGUCCCAAGGGUAUGGCUGUUCGCCAUUUAAAGUGGUACGCGAGCUGGGUUUAGAACGUCGUGAGACAGUUCGGUCCCUAUCUGCCGUGGGCGCUGGAGAAUUGAGGGGGGCUGCUCCUAGUACGAGAGGACCGGAGUGGACGCAUCACUGGUGUUCGGGUUGUCAUGCCAAUGGCACUGCCCGGUAGCUAAAUGCGGAAGAGAUAAGUGCUGAAAGCAUCUAAGCACGAAACUUGCCCCGAGAUGAGUUCUCCCUGAGACUUUAAGUCUCCUGAAGGAACGUUAAAGACGAUGACGUUGAUAGGCCGGGUGUGUAAGCGCAGCGAUGCGUUGAGCUAACCGGUACUAAUGAACCGUGAGGCUUAACCUU
rnacentral:rRNA from 4 species